CCUACGGGUGGCAGCAGUGAGGAAUAUUGGUCAAUGGACGAGAGUCUGAACCAGCCAAGUAGCGUGAAGGAUGACUGCCCUAUGGGUUGUAAACUUCUUUUAUAUGGGAAUAAAAUGUUCCACGUGUGGGAUUUUGUAUGUACCAUAUGAAUAAGGAUAGGCUAACUCCGUGCCAGCAGCCGCGGUAAUACGGAGGGUCCGAGCGUUAUCCGGGUUUAUUGGGUGUAACGGGAGCGUAGGUGGAUUGUUAAGUCAGUGGUGAAAGUUUGCGGCUCAACCGGAAAAUUGCAGUUGAAACUGGCAGUCUUGAGUACAGUAGAGGUGGGCGGAAUUCGUGGUGUAGCGGUGAAAUGCGUAGAUAUCACGAAGAACUCCGAUUGCGAAGGCAGCUCACUGGACUGCAACUGACACUGAGGCUCGAAAGUGUGGGUAGCAAACAGGAUUAGAUACCCGUGUAGUC
rnacentral:rRNA from 1 species